rnacentral:rRNA from 1 species
UACGGAAGGUCCGGGCGUUAUCCGGAUUCAUUGGGUUUAAAGGGAGCGCAGGCGGGCUGUCAAGCCAGCCGUCAAAUGGCCCGGCUCAACCGGGUCUUGCGGUUGGAACUGGCGGUCUUGGGUGCACAAGAGGGAGGCGGAACUCGUGGUGUAGCGGUGAAAUGCAUAGAUAUCACGAAGAACCCCGAUUGCGAAGGCAGCCUCCUGGGGUGUUACCGACGCUCAUGCUCGAAGGCGCGGGUAUC